GAUGAACGCUAGCGGCAGGCUUAACACAUGCAAGUCGAGGGGUAGAGGAAGCUUGCUUCCUUGAGACCGGCGCACGGGUGCGUAACGCGUAUGCAACCUACCUUUUACAGAGGGAUAGCCCAGAGAAAUUUGGAUUAAUACCUCAUAGUAUAUAACCUUCGCAUGUUGGUUAUAUUAAAGUUCCAACGGUAAAAGAUGGGCAUGCGUCCUAUUAGCUAGAUGGUAAGGUAACGGCUUACCAUGGCAACGAUAGGUAGGGGUCCUGAGAGGGAGAUCCCCCACACUGGUACUGAGACACGGACCAGACUCCUACGGGAGGCAGCAGUGAGGAAUAUUGGACAAUGGGCGCAAGCCUGAUCCAGCCAUGCCGCGUGCAGGGAGAAGCAUCUAUGGUGUGUAAACUGCUUUUGUACAGGAAGAAACACCCCGACGUGUCGGGACUUGACGGUACUGUAAGAAUAAGGAUCGGCUAACUCCGUGCCAGCCGCCGCAGUAAGAC
rnacentral:rRNA from 1 species